rnacentral:rRNA from 1 species
AUUGAACGCUGGCGGCAGGCCUAACACAUGCAAGUCGAGCGAGCGGCGGACGGGUGAGUAAUGUCUGGGAAACUGCCUGAUGGAGGGGGAUAACUACUGGAAACGGUAGCUAAUACCGCAUACCAUCAGAUGUGCCCAGAUGGGAUUAGCUAGUAGGUGGGGUAACGGCUCACCUAGGCGACGAUCCCUAGCUGGUCUGAGAGGAUGACCAGCCACACUGGAACUUAGACACGGGCCAGACUCCUAGGGGAGGAAGCAGUGGGGAAUAUUGCACAAUGGGCGAAAGCCUGAUGCCGCCAUGCCGCGUGGGUGAAGGAGGCCUUCGGGGUGUAAAGCACUUUCAGCGGGGAGGCGGUACCCGCAGAAGAAGCACCGGCUAACUCCGGGCCAGCAGCCGCGGUAAUUC